UUUCCGUAGGUGAACCUGCGGAAGGAUCAUUAUUGGAAUUUGAAACUUCAGGCUGCUGCUGGCUCUCCUCGGAGGGCAUGUGCACGCUUGUUGUCCAUUAUUUCUCCCACUGUGCACAAAUUGUAGACCUUUCAGUAGGCCUAUGUUGUUUUCCACAAUCUCUGAAUGUAAUAGAAUGGUUUUGAAUCUUGGGAAAUACAAUACAACUUUCAGCAACGGAUCUCUUGGCUCUC
rnacentral:misc_RNA from 1 species